UACGGGGGGGGCAAGCGUUGUUCGGAAUUACUGGGCGUAAAGGGCUCGUAGGCGGCCAACUAAGUCAGACGUGAAAUCCCUCGGCUUAACCGGGGAACUGCAUCUGAUACUGGAUGGCUUGAGUUCGGGAGAGGGAUGCGGAAUUCCUGGUGUAGCGGUGAAAUGCGCAGAUAUCAGGAAGAACACCCGUGGCGAAGGCGGCUCUCUGGGACGGUACUGACGCUGAGACGCGAAAGCGUGGGGAGCGAACAGG
rnacentral:rRNA from 1 species